CUUAUGUGAUGUUUCUUUUGAGCUGGAAUCGGCAUCUUCAAGCAAGCUCCAUCCUUGAUUGUUGUUAGAAUGUCUCUAUCUAUCGUCUUCCUUAGCCUCUGGUGAUGGAUUGAAAUUGAAGCUCACUGUUGACUCUGGACUGUGGUGGUGGGACGCAAGACCCCUCUUUCUGGUGAAGCUUUUGGUAGCUAUGGGAACUAGCUAGGU